rnacentral:lncRNA from 1 species
UUGUUGUUAAUACAGAGUCCUCAUCAUCUCAGCUGGCCAGACUCUUAGAUCCUUCUUUCCUUGUGCCUCUGUCAAUGGUCUCUAUACUCUUGUUGUUGUUGUGGUUGUUGUUGUUGUGUUCUUCUUUGUCAUCAAGUCCCCUCCAAACCCUGGUGACUUCCAAACGAAUGGAUGACCUUCAAAAUGAGGAAGAGCCCUGCUCAGCUCUUGCAAACUCAACCCCGUGGCUUCUUUUACUAAGUCAUUCCGACUCAUGGUCGCUUUUCAUCACUUCCUGCUGCUUUUCCCUGGAAGCAAACCCACUAAAUCCGAAAGUUUUAGGGUUGCACGUGGCCGAGAGUUUAAGCCUUUCCCGUGCUCAACGGGAGCCCUUGAAAGUUUCAGCCAACCGGUUUCUUGGAGCUCAGCUCUUGCCUGUUCAGUAACGAGUUACUCCAUGGUAACUCCUACACAGAACAGCAGGAGGAGGACCCGCGCAGCCGGAUGCAAGGCCAGGUUGCGCGGCGGUAACCCGAUCCCCGCCUGCUUUAGGUCUUGGGACAGGAUUAGUCGGCACGGAUCAGCGUGGCGGGUUGCAGCCCUCGCGUCACGUCUGAAAGGACCCCGGCCCCUUCUCUCUCUCUCUCUUUCUUCCCCCCCCUUCCCGAGUCUACUGGUUCCUGGGCCGGGCCAGGGGACGACCCCCCCUCCGACAUCCAUCCACACCCCCACAGCCCCGGCUCGGCCGCCCCGCUUUGCGCGCUGCUUCCAAGGGGAGGAGACUAAAAGUUUCUCCCUCUCGAGGCGCGCCGAUCGCGGCAAUCGGACCUGCCUGCGGACGGAAGGGGAGGCGAAGCCGCCAGCGCCAGGACUGAGGCAGGGAAGGACGCCGCCGACUCGCCCCACCGCCCCACUUCCAAGGGGGUCGCCGAUCCUGGAGGCGGAAGGGACGGGGGCGCCGAGCAAACCCGGCAGCAAAAUUUAUUUAAUACUUACAUGAUGGCUCCUAUCCACUUUCAGUGCUCUCCUGUCCAAGCAGGAGGACUGGCUGUGGUCUAUAAGACGGCUACAGCCUGCUGAGAGGGAUCUCGCACGCAAAGCUGCAGCUAUGAAAUAUAGCCGGGGCAAAACCACUGUAACCAUGAACGGAAGAAUACCAGCACCUUGCACUGCAGUUGGUCUCUCGUCUCUCCCCACUUUAUUUGUUAUGGCACUAAAGUUGGGUUGAAGUGAUUAAGCUCUCCUGACAUUGAUAGGCUGGCCAUCCUCUCUUGCCCUGUACUUAACCAAUUUAGAUCCUCCAGUACCCGUCCAUUAAGGCUUCCUGGAGCACUUUCCCAGCUUGGCAAAACGGCCGGCCAUGGGGCUCUGGUUACAGCCCUUUCCGGAGCCUAAGUAAAUGUCAACUCUCAGACGCAGAAGACCUGAAGGCAGGUGGUCCUGACAGCUUCCCAGCCUGCCUGUCGUGUGCAGUUUUCUUUGAUAGCCCAAGAAGACCCCUGGCGUGGCACAGGUGACCUGACAAGAUAGAGCGGAACCAUUCAAAGAGUGUAUAUUUUUAGAGAGAGAGAUGCAGCUGUUUUCUUGAAAUACUGGCUGCCAAAGGACAUUAUUUUUGGCUGGGGUUCAGGUUCGCCCACCUGCUGAGUAAACAACGGGGCUGUGCGUCAACACCAGUCCUUACUUUUUUGGGAACGCAGCUACCAAAAUAUCCUAGCCAACGUAACAACACACACACAGACACACAAACAGACACACAGACACACAGACACACAGACACACACACACACACACACACACACACACACAAGCAACUUUUCCACAUUGCUGCUUAAGAUUUGCCAGAGUUUCUCUGCUAGAACCAAAAUUCUGGGCCCGCAAAACAAAAACAAGCCCAGACCCUGAAUCCUGUGACUUUUGUGAAAUCCAAUGGAUCUGCUCCAUCUGUUAUUUUGUAUAAUUGUUUUUAAAAAGCAGAAACAAAGACCUCCUCUUCCCCCCCCCCAUGUCUUAGCAAGAGCUUUGCCACUUCAACUGAGUAGCGCUUCAAAGAGUUCCCGGACGUUGACCAAAUAAUUCCAGACAAAUAUAAGAUGUAGCGCUUUCCUUUAAACCAUAUCAACAAAAAGGCAGUAAGCGAUGGAGAGAAAGUAGCACCAUCUACGGACUUGGGGAUCAGAUUCAAGCCCCGAUUCCUCCCCGUCGGCUCCACCAGCCCCCAAAGGUUGAAAACUAACCAUUUUAAUAAAAUAUGGGGUAGAAUGAGGGGAGUCUUGAGG